rnacentral:rRNA from 1 species
UACGGAGGGUGCAAGCGUUAUCCGGAUUCACUGGGUUUAAAGGGUGCGUAGGCGGACAGGUAAGUCAGUGGUGAAAUCUCCGAGCUUAACUCGGAAACUGCCUUUGAUACUCUCUGUCUUGAAUAUGGUGGAGGUAAGCGGAAUAUGUCAUGUAGCGGUGAAAUGCUUAGAGAUGACAUAGAACACCUAUUGCGUAGGCAGCUCGCUAAACUCUUACUGACGCUGAGGCACGAAAGCAUGGGGAUCAAACAGG